ACGAGUGGUGGUUCAAGGAGCACGCGUUCCGAUCCACACAUUGGUCGUGCAACCUUUUUGAUCCGGCCAACAAUCGUCACGUGUGGUUCGUAGCCUUUUAUGACGGCAUGAUAAGUGCAGGUAACGACGUCUAUUGGGCGGUUAAAGAAAACGGAGUUUACUCAAGGUAUGAGAACGACGAGUUGGAAUCUCAAUGGAAAACCGGUCCCAAACGGUCUGCAAUCAGAGUUCUGAUUUGAUUUAUGUAAUGGUAGCUAGAAAGUUUCUUAUGGAAAUUGAAUCAUAAAAUGACCAAUAGAUGAAGGUUGUGCAAUAGUGAUCAAUUAAAACUGAAAUCAAACACAAACAUUAGAAUAUAUUGGAAAUGGAUGCAUAAUUCAUUUCCACAAAGUUCAAGAUUUAGUAAUACUGGAGACGAAAAAUAAUUGUAAUAUUUGAAAUUGUAUCCAAAUAAAAUAUUUUCUUGAAUAAUGCGGUUUCAAGACGAGCUGACAGAACAAUAGAUGCACUAUUUUGGUUCAUCGGGAUGAGAAUUUGCAAUUACAUCCUACAUUGACGAUAUAUAAACAACAAUGUUACAUAUUAGAUAAUAUAACAAUCCUAAUUUUGGGUGCAAAAUAGCGAACCCAAUCCUACAAUUUUUUGCGGGUUCGGGUCGGGUCCUAUAUUGGGACGUCUAAAAUUUUUACUAAACCAAAACAAUUUCAUCCGCUUUGAAUUAUUAUUCAAAAUAAUAAAUCAAAUAGUCACGUCAUUCGAAUCAUUUUUUACGUUCACUAAUGUAAAUGAUCGGCGCUAUUGAGAAAGACGACGGUUAAGAUUAAUUAGAGGUUAUUCAAUAUUUGUGAGUAAUAUUCAUGGAUUAGCUGUGAGAAUUAACUACCAUCGACGUCAUUAGGUGGGCACGAUGCAGAAUGGCCGCACCGAGCACACCGUAAAAAUGAAAAAAUCUGCACCGUAAAUGGAUUUAAAACCGCACCAUUAAAGUAUCGAUACGGUCGAAUCGAACCGCUCCAUUUUGCCGUUUAGGUGCGAUUUAAACCGCUAAACCGUAAACCCCUAAAUCAAAUACAUAUGACUGAAAAAUACUUAAUUUGUUAUAGGAUUGACUACUAUCAUAGCUGAAACAAGUUGACAUCAUGUUAGUAACUGUGUUACUUACACAGUAGAAAGAUGAGCGUACAAAUUUUUCCAAACACGUAAACACCAUAAAUUUAACAAACCCACUAACUUUAAUUUUGCCUUUUUAAACUAUACUCCGUUUCUUUUCAAAUUUUGUUUUGGGAAUUUGAUAUUUUGAUCGAAAAAAUGCAUGGGUUUCAUCGUCAUCGGUCAUCGAUACAAUUCUAUCACACUGAGACAUAAGUUUAGUACAAUCGCAUAUGCUUUUGAAUGAUAAAAAAUGUGCAUAUUCCAUUAUUUACGGCUUACGAUUCUAAACCGUAAACCGCGAUUUUAAACCGCAUCACGAACCUUUAUUUGGAAAAUAACCACACCGCAUACUAAAUCACAAUGUUGUGUGGUACGGGGCGGAUUUAUAUUUUUGCGGUUUGGUAUGGUGUAGUACAGGUAAACCGAUUUAGUACCACCCCUAGCCCGUCAUUAAGACUUUUCUUUUUGUAUGAGGAGCUUGUUUCCAUCGAGAACUAUAGAAGAAUAGGACCACCAAACUUUUCAUGUAAUGAAUCUCCCACGUAGAUGAGUUAAAAAAAUAAGGAAAUAUAAGAGAAUGAUAAAAGAUCCAUAAUUAACCCCUUUUAUACCAUGCAUUUAGUUGGUUUUGCAAUUGAAUCUCGUACAAUCACCGUCCAUAAACAGUCAGCUAGUCCGUCCACGUGGCACAUUGUAGUUGGUGUAAACUUUCUUUUCGUAUUAUCUCUCAUUUUGCUAUUAUAUUUGUGUAUUUACCCUUGAUUUUUGGUACUAUCCAUUUCUUAAAAAGAAUAUUAUGUAUCUACCCCUGAUUCUGAUAGCAACCCUUUCAAUUUUUUUUUUCCAACUCUUUACAUUAUAACAAAUUAAAAGGUUCAAUGUUUCAUAAUAAAGAUAAAAACAGAAUUUAACAUAGACCCUUAAAUCAGUCAAAAGAGCCAACUUUCGAGAUCUAACUUUCCAAAAUUAUUAUUAAACUUAGAAAGUCCGAAAAUAGAGACAUCGUUCAAUACGGUCCCUGUCUUAAUUCAUGUUUCAAGAAAAAACAUUGAUAAAUAUCUUAAUUUACAAAUUUCCUUCUUUUUAUAAUUUUAUCAAAGGAUACCAAAACUAAAUUAAUUUCCUUAAAACUAAUAAAAAAAUAAAACUGAACUUCUAAAAUUAUGACUAUAUAAGCAUGGGUCACGAGCAUAAACUAACUACACAUGCUUAAAGUUUACAGAUAAAAAUCCUCCAUACACUUAAGUUAAUUUUCGAAGAUGACAUCCAAAAAUCUCUUACUUGCCAUCGCGGUAGCAACACUUUUGCUGGCCUCAACAAUUCCUCCAUCGUCGGCAGCAUGGUUUCAUAGGGAAAGCUAUCAUGUCCACAUAAAAAACGAGCUUAGCCGGAAUGAGGUUCUGAAGGUGGAUUGCAAUUGCGCAGACAGAGCUCAGCCAACCGGUUAUGUCAAAGUUGGAAAUGAGUACGAGUGGUGGUUCAAGGAGCACGCGUUCCGAUCCACACAUUGGUCGUGCAACCUUUCUGAUCCAGCCAACAAUCGUCACGUGUGGUUCGUAGCCUAUGAUGACAACAUGGAAACUGCAGGGCAAGACGUUUAUUGGGCUGUUAAAAACGACGGAGUUUACUCAAGGCUUCCUUUUCAGGCCGACAACUUGCAAUUUAAA
rnacentral:lncRNA from 1 species